AUGCAUGUUUUGGAUAUUUUUUGGGGCAUUGUUGAUGCUAAGGGAAAUAUUUCGAGCUCCAAUAGAUUAAUGGUGGAUUCAUGGAAGAAGUGCUUUAAGUUUGUGGCUUCAUGUUGUUUUUCUGGAACCGAGUGCGAUAGAGAGAAUCUAUAUUUCCCACCAGUUUCUUUGAUUUAUACACUGUUCAACUUUAAAAAAAGCUUAAAGCGGGCUCAGAGAAGAAGAAACAAAGAAAGCUCAGUGUCAGUGUUUGGGAAGCCUCACCCAGCGAAGGGGAGGCGAGAAUCAGCAGCUUCGUUUGACGAGAGAGAGCCGAGAGAUGUUUCAAAAUUCAGUAGCUACUGA